rnacentral:lncRNA from 1 species
AAUUGGGACAAGUGUGCGGAUCUGUAACCUCACAACUAAGCAGCACGUGGAGUUGCCAAUAGUUGUAUCGAGCAUCUCGGGAGAUGAUUCCAAUAUGUGGAACCACUUUGGAACGAUUCUGUUCAGGAGGAAUACAAAGUGAUUAGCGUAACUUGGAAAGGCUUUGGAGGAGAAUCAACCAAAGCUUAGCUCCGCAUCGUAAUGUAACAUUCCGACUUGUGAUAUAUGGAAAGACUUAAGAGAACUGAUUUGGUUAUCUAUAUCAC